rnacentral:rRNA from 1 species
AUUGAACGCUGGCGGCCGGCCUAACACAUGCAAGUCGAACGAGUGGCGGACGGGUGAGUAAUGUCUGGGAAACUGCCUGAUGGAGGGGGAUAACUACUGGAAACGGUAGCUAAUACCGCAUACCAUCAGAUGUGCCCAGAUGGGAUUAGCUAGUUGGUGGGGUAACGGCUCACCAAGGCGACGAUCCCUAGCUGGUCUGAGAGGAUGACCAGCAACACGGGAACGGAGACACGGGCCAGAGUCAUACGGGAGGCAGAAGUGGGGAAUAUUGCACAAUGGGCGAAAGCCUGAUUCAGCCAUGCAGCGUGUAUGAAGAAGGCCUUCGGGUUGUAAAGUACUUUCAGCGGGGAGGCGUUACCGGCAGAAGAAGAACCGGAUAACUCCGUGCCAGCAGCCGCGGUAAUAC